rnacentral:lncRNA from 1 species
CAAUGUAGGGUAGAUAAAGGCAUAUAAUUUGCAUAUUGAACUUGGUACAGUCUUACUAACAUAUAGAAUUUUGUACUAAACAUCGUAUACCUCUUAGAAACAUAUGUGGAAUAUUUAUCUUAAAAAUUCAAAUACUGUAUACCCCUACCUUUUAGGGUUGUUAAAAUUUAAUCGCAUAGCUAUGAAACAAAUUAUUUGGAAGAUAAAUUUAAGGCAUUUAAUUCAACUAUUUUCUCAUAAAAUUAAAAAUUCAAAGAGAUUCAGUAUCCUUAAAUAUGAUUUUAUUGCCAAAGUUAUUAAAUACUAUGAAAAGUUCUCUUCUCUUUCAAUUACAAAGUUAAAUAAAACAUACAAAACUCCAAAACUUAAAAAUGGAAAAUAGGGCUCAUGACUUUUCCAUGAUCUUUUUUUUUCAAUGUAUAAGCAUGCAGCACAAAGAGUUUAUAAGUAAACAUUUCCACUGUACCUCUGGUUGGAAAGUUUUAUAAAUUGUUCCUUACAUUUCCUCUAAUGAGUAUGUGGAAUUCAGAUGAUCAGACAAAACACUAAAUGUCAUUAAAAUAUUAACAUGAGGCAUGUUACUUGAAAAACCACUUCUAAAUAAUUAACAGUAAAAUUAUGUGGUUUUCCCAGGAUUAUUUAAAUGAAAGUUAAAGAUGAGUUUUAAAAAUGAAGUAUAUUCUCUUUUUGAACCUUACCACUUAUUUUAAAAAUGAUCAUACUAAAACAGCUUUAUAUCACAAAGAAGAACUGUAACAUAAAUCGUGUUUUGUGGAGCAUAUAUGUGGUGUAGACUAAGAAAGGGGAAAUGGUGGAACUAAAUAUUGUGUCUUCACUAUGUGAUAGUGAUUUCAAGAUAUUAUAAAUGUUCCAAAAAAUCCUGGUAUAAUAAUUUCUGAUUGACAGAUAAACGAAAUAAAAACAUAAAUUUGUUGCCCUUUGGCUACCCCUCCUUUCCCUGUUUGUCUGCCCUUGAACUUAGGAACUUGCUCCAAAAUCACCUGUUCACCCCCCUGACCUAUGAAUGCCUGGGAGACAGGACUUUUCUGGUUUCUGUUUUGCUUUUACAGCUUUAUAUACUUUGUUAUUUUAUUUCUGUGUUUCUGUUUGGCUUUAUAUUCCUGGAGAAAGUCAUUUGCUCAUUCAUCAAAAGUAUUGGCUUUAUAUUUGGGCUGCAUGGUUUCAAAGCCAACACAUCCCACUGAAAAUUCCUCUCUUGAACAUAAGCAAGGAGACAUGAAUUGUUUCCAUCUUUGUCACUAAUCAGCUGUGUUCACUUCAGCCUUAUAAAUUGAUUUCUCAGACCACAGUUUCCUCUUUUGUAAAAUUAAGGCUGGGCUAGAUCUCUGAAGAUCCUUUGAGUUAUAAACUUGAAAGCUUGUAAUCCCAAAAGCAAAAUGGGAAGAGAUCAGAACAAAUAGAUAAGCAUUAAACCAAAAAUCAACAGAAGCUAAUUCUUCCCUCUGUAUUCUUGCCUUUUGCAAAAGCCAUUUAUAAAUACUUUUAAAAAUAAUAUCUAAGAAUCUCUUGUAUUACUCUGUGUUCAUGCAUACUCAAACAUAAAUUUUGUAAUAUUUUCCCAUCUCCUCAUCAUUCCAAUUUUUUUCUGCUUCUUAUGUUAUAUCGAAGAGGCUAUAAUGGGAAGGGAGCUAUUUUCCUAGUUGGUUGAUUUUCCAUAAAUCAUUCCAUUAGUCUAUUAUCACACUUUACAGUGCAGUGGUAAAUUAGAGAGUAUUCUAGGUAGUGAGUUUGUACAUAAAUAACCUAAAUUAAUUGAAGACAUCUAUUCAACGACUCUAUUUAGUUACAUCUCUAAUUUUGAGACUAAACCAUAUAAUAAAUUUAAAUAUUUUACUAUUUAAUUGAAUUAACAAUCAGAUAUGCACAUGAAUUCAUACUUUAAAUGUCCUUUAGUUAAUAUUGGGGAAACUUCAGUCAUGAAUAAAAUAAAAAUGUUAAUUCAAGGCUUUAGGAAUCAUAAUUGAAUUUCAGAAAAGCUAGUUCUUAAUGAGGAUUUUAUAUAAUCUCAUGAUUAAAAAUAAAAUACACAUUUUUAAUAAUUAAUAGAAUUUAUAAAUAAGAAUAAUUAGUUUAAUAGUGCAUUCAUGUUUGUUUCUAUCGAAAUGAAAAAAUGAGCAACUCCUAGUUCACACAAUUAUUUACAGAAGAAGAAAUAACAAUUAUGAUUUUUUUAGCAUUCAAACAAGUAAUUUAUUCGAUUAUCUCUUUCACUAAUCUCAUCUUACCAAGCAUUCUAAUUCUUCGCUCCUGUUAUCUCUGUGGUCUUCUUCCAAAUAUAAUUGCCAAUAUUAUCAAUAUUGUUUUCUUUUGUUAUCACUCUUCCGGGGCUUUUGAAUUGCUAACUUUUUUUUUUUUAAUUGGGAAAUAUUCCAAAAAUGCAAAUUCCCGUAGUGGCGCAGUGGUUAACGAAUCCGACUAGGAACCAUGAGGUUGCGGGUUCGGUCCCUGCCCUUGCUCAGUGGGUUAACGAUCCGGCGUUGCCAUGAGCUGUGAUGUAGGUUGCAGACGCGGCUCGGAUCCCGCGUUGCUGUGGCUCUGGCGUAGGCCGGUGGCUACAGCUCCGAUUCAACCCCUAGCCUGGGAACCUCCAUAUGCCGUGGGAGCGGCCCAAGAAAUAGCAACAAUAACAACAACAACAA